AGGAGCAACAGCCCUAGUGGCGGGGCCAGCUCUGGAGCCCUGGAUUCAGCCCCCGCAGGAACUCCGGAGCUCUCGGUCUGCAGGGCCUGGAGGCUCCGGGGCGGG
rfam:Canis lupus familiaris chromosome 3, whole genome shotgun sequence.